rnacentral:rRNA from 1 species
AUUGAACGCUGGCGGCAGGCCUAACACAUGCAAGUCGAGCGGAUGAAGGGAGCUUGCUCCUGGAUUCAGCGGCGGACGGGUGAGUAAUGCCAAGGAAUCUGCCUGGUAGUGGGGGAUAACGUCCGGAAACGGGCGCUAAUACCGCAUACGUCCUGAGGGAGAAAGUGGGGGAUCUUCGGACCUCACGCUAUCAGAUGAGCCUAGGUCGGAUUAGCUAGUUGGUGGGGUAAAGGCCUACCAAGGCGACGAUCCGUAACUGGUCUGAGAGGAUGAUCAGUCACACUGGAACUGAGACACGGUCCAGGCUCCUACGGGAGGCAGCAGUGGGGAAUAUUGGACAAUGGGCGAAAGCCUGAUCCAGCCAUGCCGCGUGUGUGAAGAAGGUCUUCGGAUUGUAAAGCACUUUAAGUUGGGAGGAAGGGCAGUAAGUUAAUACCUUGCUGUUUUGACGUUACCAACAGAAUAAGCACCGGCUAACUUCGUG